AUACAGUAAAUUAUUAACAUAAAUUACCUAUUAAGUUAUGUAUUACCUUUUGAACUGUGUACUGUAACUUGCUAUGCCUUUAAGGACAUAAUUAUAUAAAAAGGUGUUCUAGACUUCCAAAAAUAUGUUCUGGUCAAAAUCAACUUUAUUAAUGAUGACUUGAAUAUUUACACAAUAGAAAGAAAAUGAACAUGAUGCAAUCUAACAAGAUUAAAAUAAAGAGCUGAAUGUAGCCAUAGAUAUUUUUUAACUGCUUUUAUAAUUUUAUAAUUAUCAUACGGAUUUCUAUAUUUCUAAUGGAAUGUACGGAGUGUCUAAUGGGACAAAACUUUUCCAUUUCACCGAGAAAAUGUUUGUAUGCAAACAUGCAACCGGUGAUGCAAACAAUAUGAGAUGAUGGAUCAAAACAGACAGUUGGCGAUGGAUUCACAGAGGGAAGUCUCAGGUUUCGCUUCAGAAAACAUUGAGGGACCGUCAAAGUUAAGGGUCCCAUACACUUAUAUGGACUCAGAGAAGGACGUGAGAAGGCAUGAGGGUGAGUAAAUGAUGAAAUAAUUUACAUUUUUGCUGGGAGUAUCCCUUUAACCCUGCAGAUACACUGUUAUCAGGUCUUACAAAGUUACCAUUGAAAGGGUAAAUUCAUGUUUCUCCCAAUUUCAGAAAUUAUUCUUGUAUGUGUAACACCAUUUGGAUCACAAGAUACAGAUCCUGCUUUCAAACAUAUGAGGUUUAUUAUGACAGAAGCAUUUUAACAUGGAUUUUGAGUGACGCUGAAGAUGAAGUACCAGUCUUUGGUGCUCCUGGAUUCAGAGAUGCUGCUAUUUCCUUCAUAAAAACCCCACAGACAAUUCCAUGGAAUGAGCGUCUAGGAAUUUGCACCAGAUCCUUUUCUUCCCGCUCGACUUGUGCCUUGCCAACAUCUGCUCUUUUGAAGACACCAGUAAAUCCAUUUUUAUAUUAUUCUUUAAAUUUCUACCCAACACAUGCAGAUACUGCUGUCCACCACAGCUGUUGGAGGAGAGUUUCAGAGCUUAGUCUAACUAUGUGUGUUUAUAAAUGAGGCGGACAGGCUCUAUCAACUCCAUUGUUUUCAUGUCAUUUUGGCCUUUUAUAUGAUUGUUAAAGGAAUAGUUCACCCACAUUCAAUAUAUCAUAUUUUCCUCAAGGUCUCUGUGUCAGGUGUUUCUUGGCCUUUCUCUUUUCCUUUUCUCUAGAGGGUCCCUGUUUUUGAGAUUUGAGAUUUCACAAUUUAAGUGUUUAUUCAAGAAAAAUCUGAUGAGAAAAACUGUGAUGUCUGAUUCUUGAAUAUUUUCAAUGCAAUGGUUGGCUCAUUUCACAAAAUUUAAAUAAUUAAUUCACAAAUCAGACUGAUUCAGUACUUGGGUUCAACUCGCUGACACAGAGUUACAUUGUUGCGGUGUUUAAAAGAUCGGAUUAUCAGCAAAUAACAACUUAUUUAGGUAUUUUCCUCAAACAAAGCUAUUAAAUGACUUCAGAAGACUUGAAAUAGAGUGCAGAAAUCAUAUGGACUACUUGCACGGUACUUACUGUAUGGUGUGUCCUGUUGAAGCUUAAGAUCUCAUUCCAAAUUGAAAAAUGAGUGACCAGUACAGUUUUCAAAAUUUCUCCUAUUGUGCUUUCCAGAAGAAUAGAAUAGAAUGAGUGAACUAUCCUUUUAUCAUAAGUUUUGGCCUGACAGUUUGCAAAAUGGCUUCGGUCAAAAUUAUCAAUGACUUGUUGAUGGCUUCUGAUUCUGGUGCCAUUUCCAUUCUCAUCCUUCUUGAUCUUAGUGCAGUUUUUGAUGUGUCAAGAACAGUUUUAAACUGGUUUAAAUCCUAUUUUACUGACUUGGUUGGUUACAGGUCUGAGAUCAGCUUUAUGUGUAUUGGUGUUCAUCAAGGCUCAGUUUUGGGGCCUUUUCUGUUCAGUAUUUACUUGUCACCACUGGGGCGUCUGUUGUGAUUGCUUGGUCUAUACUACCACUUCCAUGCUGACGAUACUCAAAUCUAUACACUUAAAACCUGGUGAAAAUCUUGAUGUCUGCUAUCUCUCUGAUUGUAUUUCUGAGAUAAAAACAUGAAUGAAUAAUAACUUCCUUUGUCUUACUUUUUAAAAUUAGCAUUUGCUUGUUGAAGUUUAUGUUAUUAUUUUAUUUAUUGUGUUUUGCUUAUUUUGUGUACAGCGCUUUGAAAAGCUGCUUUAAAGGUGCAUUAUAAAAUAAAGUUUAUUAUUAUUUUUUUUUUUUUAUUCUU
ensembl:lncRNA